AUAAGCUCUUGUCCUGCACCGAAGCGGCCCGCAUGUAUGCGGGGGAGCUUCGGUAUAGGACAAGGCAACAGAAAUGAGGAAAAAAGCGGAUCGAGGAAGGAGAUCCGCGAUUUCCGAAUUGCUGCGUCGGAUUGCGGGAGGGCGAAGCACGAAGCAAUCCGAAGGCUUAU
rnacentral:sRNA from 1 species